GCACUGGUUUACAGCUCAGUGGUUACUUCGACCAUCAAUUCUCUCUACAGACUUCGCUGAUCUCCAAUCCCUCCCUGGAUCAAACCACGGGUGCUGUCCAGUGUUUUU
ensembl:vault_RNA Vault Vault RNA